ensembl:lncRNA
UUCUCUCUGUUCUCUCUGUCUCUCUGUUCUCUGUCUCUCUAUUCUCUCUGUCUCUCUGUUCUCUCUGUCUCUCUAUUCUCUGUCUCUCUGUCUCUCUGUUCUCUCUGUCUAUCUAUUCUCUCUCUCGCUCUCUAUUCUCUCUCUCUAUUCUCUCUGUCUCUCUGUUCUCUCUGUCUCUCUGUUCUCUCUGUCUCUCUAUUCUCUCUGUCUCUCUGUUCUCUCUGUCUCUCUAUUCUCUCUGUCUCUCUCCCUACGACAGUAGUGGCUGUAGGAUGCAAUUACUUAACGUUGUUCAUUGUGGUUUUAAUAUCUAUGAUUUCCCAGCUAUGUUUACCUGACUAGCUGAGCCGUGUACAGGAUAUACUGGAGGUCAAAAGGACUCUAUGGACACCUCUUCUGCACAUCUUACAACUACCGGUAUGCAACAUUGAAGGAAAAAAAUUGCCGACAAAUGCAUAUGCAUACACAGCUGCUCUAGGUUGACCCACUACUGUGAAAAUUAAGACCUUGCUAGAUUAUUUUUCAAAUAAUAUUUAUGACUUGUAUAUAGUUUACUUUACAUACAUACACACACAUACAUAUGAAGGUGGAAUUGUGGUUUACACUAAUCUGAGUAACGAAACAACACCAGUAAAAUAUAAAUUCUGUUUUUUUUUCAGCAAGUUUGAAAUUUAAUGAACAUAAACAAGUACAUAAGCUGCUAUUUCCAUCAUUUGUAAAAAGCCCCCCCCCCAAAAAAAAAGCUCCAGUAAUUUGCAAAAUAAAGAAAAAGCCAUAAAAACUCAAACAAAUAAAAAUAUUUGGCCUCCUUGUUGUGGUAAUAUCAACAAUAUAUUCCAUAUGUAUUGUAAUAUAUUACCAUUAAUCCACAUGUCUAUAAGGCACCAAACGCUAAAUGGCACAAUCAUAGAAUAACUUUAUUCACUAUAAUUGUGCAGAAAAUACAAAGACAUCCAGAUCAACAGAAACACUCAAUCACAAAUUGGAUCAAAGGAAAUAUACUGCCGACCAUUAUAUUGUGUUGUUUAUUGGUCUCCAUUCAACUGAUUUAGGUUUUUCUGUCAAAAUGUGGGGAAACUGUAGAUUUCUGUAAAACUUUUGAGUUCCUUCUGAAUUGACAGUCAUGAGCUGUCAUCACUUGGUGUUCUCGAUUAUGCCUCCAGUUCAACAAUAUGCUCCUCCUUCUUUCCUGAGAUCAAAUCAAAUCAAAUCAAAUUUUAUUUGUCACAUACACAUGGUUAGCAUGAGAUUCAGGAAACUGUGUUACCGUAGCUGAAAUACAAACGCGAUCAUGAAUCUAAAUGAAUAAUGAAUGGAUUAGGCAUCAAAUUAUAAUCCCAUCAUUCAUAAAUAGUAACUAUUUUUUCAGUACAUCAUUUCUCAUCCAUUAACACAACAGGCAUAUUUAAAAAAAUCUGAAGUAAAAAAAAAAAAAAAAAAUCUUUGACAAUGUUUGGUAUAUGAAUGUGUUUCAAGUGUAAAUAUAGCAGAUGUAACAAUCCGUUCUCAACACUGUUGUUAGCAUGAUAUAACAUGUAAUAUCACAAAAUUCAACAUCCACCAGGAUCACAUUACUGUUCUAAGACAGAUAUUGCAAAAAUAGUCAUAUGAAAUCACUGGUCACUGAAUGAUGCAAUAAAACUACAUGCUGCUCAUUUGCCUUCACUGUCUUCUAUGUUUGGGGUGGCAGGUAGCCUAGUGGUUUAAACCAGGUAGCCUAGGG